rnacentral:rRNA from 1 species
GCAGUCGAGCGGACAGAUGGGAGCUUGCUCCCUGAUGUUAGCGGCGGACGGGUGAGUAACACGUGGGUAACCUGCCUGUAAGACUGGGAUAACUCCGGGAAACCGGGGCUAAUACCGGAUGGUUGUCUGAACCGCAUGGUUCAGACAUAAAAGGUGGCUUCGGCUACCACUUACAGAUGGACCCGCGGCGCAUUAGCUAGUUGGUGAGGUAACGGCUCACCAAGGCGACGAUGCGUAGCCGACCUGAGAGGGUGAUCGGCCACACUGGGACUGAGACACGGCCCAGACUCCUACGGGAGGCAGCAGUAGGGAAUCUUCCGCAAUGGACGAAAGUCUGACGGAGCAACGCCGCGUGAGUGAUGAAGGUUUUCGGAUCGUAAAGCUCUGUUGUUAGGGAAGAACAAGUGCCGUUCAAAUAGGGCGGCACCUUGACGGUACCUAACCAGAAAGCCACGGCUAACUACGUGCCAGCAGCCGCGUAAUACGUAGGUGGCAAGCGUUGUCCGAAAUUAUUGGGCGUAACGGGCUCGCAGGCGGUUUCUUAAGUCUGAUGUGAAAGCCCCCGGCUCAACCGGGGAGGGUCAUUGAAAACUGGGAAACUUGAGUGCAGAAGAGGAGAGUGAAUUCCACGUGUAGCGUUGAAAUGCGUAAAGAUGUGAAGAACACAGGGGAAAAGGCGACUCUCGG